rnacentral:rRNA from 1 species
AGAGUUUGAUCAUGGCUCAGGACGAACGCUGGCGGCAUGCCUAAUACAUGCAAGUCGAACGCUGAAGCACUCUGCUUGCAGAGUGCGGAUGAGUGGCGAACGGGUGAGUAACACGUGGGGAAUCUGCCUAGGAGUGGGGGAUAACAUUCGGAAACGGAUGCUAAUACCGCAUAUCUUCUUAGACCGCAUGGUCUAUGAAUGAAAGACGGCUUUGCUGUCGCUCUUAGAUGAUCCCGCGGCGUAUUAGUUAGUUGGUGGGGUAAAGGCCUACCAAGACAAUGAUACGUAGCCGACCUGAGAGGGUGAUCGGCCACACUGGGACUGAGACACGGCCCAGACUCCUACGGGAGGCAGCAGUAGGGAAUCUUCCACAAUGGGUGCAAACCUGAUGGAGCAAUGCCGCGUGAAUGAAGAAGGUCUUCGGAUCGUAAAGUUCUGUUAUUAGUGAAGAACAAAUCGAGGAGUAACUGUCUCGAUUUUGACGGUAACUAACCAGAAAGUCACGGCUAACUACGUGCCAGCAGCCGCGGUAAUACGUAGGUGACAAGCGUUGUCCGGAAUUAUUGGGCGUAAAGCGCGCGUAGGCGGUUUUUUAAGUCUGAUGUGAAAGCCCACGGCUCAACCGUGGAGGGUCAUUGGAAACUGGAAAGCUUGAGUGCAGAAGAGGAAAGUGGAAUUCCAUGUGUAGCGGUGAAAUGCGCAGAGAUAUGGAGGAACACCAGUGGCGAAGGCGACUUUCUGGUCUGUAACUGACGCUGAUGUGCGAAAGCGUGGGGAUCAAACAGGAUUAGAUACCCUGGUAGUCC